UGUAUAUCUAUGGUCGGCACGUCUGGUAGCAUCUCUGGCUGCUGUUGAUCUUGUUUUUGGAGUAAAACACGGUGGAAGCUGAAUUAGUGAGGAUGACUCCUGCUCCUGUCAUCUCUAAGCUCCUCACACAUCUUUACCUGCACAUGAGGAAAAUCACUCCUGUAGAAUGCAGUGGUUCAUCAGAACCUCUGGGGAUGUCCUGUGGAUUCUGUGGAUCCUGUGGGUUGCAGGGUGGGUCCUACCUAGACCAGGCUGAUCCUGGACCAUCCCACAGAUGCUCCAUCAGAUCUGGAUGUGGGGAGUGUGGAACCCAGAUGUUCAGAGGGAGAUGAUGCCACAUCUGGUCCAGCUGAUGGAAGGUCUUGAAGUUCUCUGACUGGCCUCGACUGAAGAUGGUCGUCUCACUGGAUUUAAGGUUCAGAUGCUCAGUAACAAACUCCACCAAUGUGCCAACAGGGAAGCUUUAGGUUUAUUAAAUGUUGCUAUGAAGGUAUCGCUGUUUUUCUUUGUGAAUGCAAUGUGCUCCAACUGAAACUUGAAUUAGAACUUAGAAGUAAAUCCUUCCAUCUGAAAGGAUUUAGUUGCAUUAAUAACCUCAUAACAUUCUAAUUUUUAUUCCAGUCUUGGCUGGAAAUAGAAUCUCUGUAUUGAUUCAGGUAAAAACUGAACUUCACAGCAUGUUGGAGCAAAACAACCAGAUGAAAACUGUGAUGGUGUUGGAUUGUCAGACCGUAAUGUUGCAGCUCAAAGCAGCUUUUCUAUCUCAGUUCAUUCUGACAUUCAGCUAUGAAUCAACACAGCAGAUGGUGAUCCAUGCUGUGGAAGUCUCACAUCUCCUGAUUUAAUGGAGCUGCUUUGCACUUUUUACACUGUUUAUUCACCAACACUUUAUUUAAUAAAAGUCCCAUCUAGUUUUUAUGAGGAAUGUGAUGUUUUAAUUUCUCUGUGAAUAACUGCAGUCUAAUGCAACAGCUGGAGUUGUAACAUCUGUCCUGAUAUUGAUCAUGAAGUAUUGAUCAGAAUACUUAUGGUUAGCAGUCAUCCCUGAAGUUUUACAUUAAAAUCUUUACUUGUGUUGUGAACUUUGGUAAGAAGCAGAAACGUUAGCGUUGCCAUGGAUACAUGAGUGUUAAAUUCUGUCCAUGUUUCCAUUUUGGGAAAUUCAGUCCAGUUCCAGAAUGUGGAGGAAUUUAGUCUCACAAUCACAGACAACAAAUAUUAUCUGAAAGUCGGGUUAUUG